rnacentral:rRNA from 1 species
UUUAGAUUGAACGGGUCUCUGAUGGGUUGGACAAAGGAUAAGCUGUCUCUGUUUUUUAUUUUGAAUUUAUCUUUUAAGUGAAAAGACUUAAAUUAAUUUAAGGGACGAUAAGACCCUAUAAAUCUUUAUAUUAAUGUAUAUUUAUUUAAAUUUUUAAUGUAAAUGAAAAAUAAAAAUAUCUAAUAUUAUAUUGGGGUGAUAAGAAUGAUAAUUAAACUGUUCUAAAAAAAACAAAGUUAUUUGGUGUAAUAAUAGAUCCUUUUUUAAGAUUAAAAGUUUAAGUUACUUUAGGGAUAACAGCGUUAUUUUUUUUGAGAGUUCUAAUCGAAAAAAAAGUUUGCGACCUCGAUGUUGAAUUAAAAUUUCUUCAUAGUGCAGCCGUUAUGAAAGAAAGUCUGUUCGACUUUUAAAAUUUUACGUGAUCU